UAAAAAUACAGAUUUUAAUACCCGUCUUAUUUUAGUUCUAAGACUUGGCAAUUGCCAGGUAUCAUCCUUUCGAUUUACCCAGGUCCACCGUCGAGGCCACAAGGGAGAUUUCUUCCAGAGAGAGGAUAGAGUUAUUAAGUCUAAAGUCCAUUAUUUGCUUUUGUCCUUCAGGAAAAGAUGGUCCUGACUCUGGGUGGAUCUAACAAGGAUCCUGGAACUCCAGUUCUGCUUUUUGGAUUUACCGGGAACUUCCCAGUCCAGACGAUUGGAAUUACAGCAUUAUACUUUGACUGGUAUGAUCUUCUGCUUUCGGGAACGCUGCGAGGAGCUUUGUGAGUCGAGGGCGAUGGUUCUCCCCGAGAAUACCUCGGCGCCGGCCGGAGUUUGAUCGACACUCGAUCUC